GGAGGGUACAGCCCAGUGGUAGAGUGCGUAAUUAGCAUGCACAAGAUCCUGGGUUCAAUCCCCAGUCCCUCCA
rfam:Camelus ferus unplaced genomic scaffold scaffold1095, whole genome shotgun sequence.